rnacentral:rRNA from 1 species
CCAUGUGCAGGUUGAAGCGAGAGUAAAAUCUCGUGGAGGACCGAACCCAUAUCCGUUGAAAAGGGUUGGGAUGACGUGUGGAUAGCGGUGAAAUUCCAAUCGAACUCGGAGAUAGCUGGUUCUCCUCGAAAUAGCUUUAGGGCUAGCCUUGGAGGAAGACGAAUGGAGGUAGAGCACUGAAUGAGGUAGGGGCCUAACCAGGUUACCGAACUCUAUCAAACUCCGAAUGCCAUUCGUUAAUAUCCAGGAGUCAGACUACGGGAGCUAAGUUCCGUGGUCAAAAGGAAAAGAGUCCAGAUCGUCAAUUAAGGUCCCAAAUGGAUAGCUAAGUGGAAAACGAUGUGAUUUUGCGUAAACAACCAGGAUGUUGGCUCAGAAGCAGCCAUUCAUUAAAAGAGUGCGUAAUAGCUCACUGGUCGAGUGAAAUUGCGCGGAAAAUUACCGGGGCUAAGUUAUCAACCGAAAUUGCGGAUUUGUAAUUUAUUACAAGUGGUAGAGGAGCAUUCUAUUGUAGGAUGAAGUCAGAGCGUGAGCACUGGUGGACGAGAUAGAAGAGAGAAUGCUGGAAUAAGUAGCGAGAGCAGGGUGAGAAUCCCUGCCGUCGAAAGUCUAAGGUUUCCUGGGGAAGGUUCGUCCGCCCAGGGUUAGUCAGGACCUAAGGAGAGGCCGAAAGGCGUAUCUGAUGGAUAGCAGGUUGAUAUUCCUGCACUAUAUAAUACUUAAAAGAUGCAACUGACGCAGAAGUGGAAGGUGAGCAAGGAAAUGGAAAAACUUGUUCCGCAAGGGGGAGUGAAAAUAAAGUAACGAAGCACCAAGAAGCACGCUGACGAGAAAAGGUUGUAGAUCUUGUAUUAUAUACUUGUACCGCAAACCGACACAGGUAGAUGAGGAGAGGAUCCUAAGACGAUCGGGAGAAGCAUUGUUAAGGAACUCGGCAAAUUGACCCCGUAACUUUGGAAGAAGGGGUACUGGUGUAACAGCCAGUCGCAGAGAAUUGUCCCAAGCAACUGUUUAACAAAAACAUAGGUUUCUGCUAAAUCGAAAGAUGAAGUAUAGGAGCUGACGCCUGCCCAGUGCUGGAAGGUUAAGGGAACGUGUUAAUAGUAAUAUGAAGCACCGAACUGAAGCCCCAGUGAACGGCGGCCGUAACUAUAACGGUCCUAAGGUAGCGAAAUUCCUUGUCAGGUAAGUUCUGACCCGCACGAAAGGCGUAAUGAUUUGGGAGCUGUCUCGACAAUGUCCCCGGCGAAAUUGUAGUACUAGUGAAGAUGCUAGUUACCUGCGACAAGACAGAAAGACCCCAUGGAGCUUUACUGCAGUUUGAUACUGAGUCAGGCUAAUUUAUGUACAGGAUAGUUAGGAGGCUUUGAGGCUUAAGCGCCAGCUUAAGAAGAGCCAACGUUGGGAUACUAACCUUAAAUUAGUUUGAAUCUAACUCGUGAUCGUAAUCCGGUCAGAGGACAAUGUCAGACGGGCAGUUUGACUGGGGCGGUCGCCUCCUAAAGAGUAACGGAGGCGUUCAAAGGUUCCCUCAGCGCGGACAGAAAUCGCGCAAUAGAGUGUAAAGGCAGAAGGGAGCUUAACUGGGAGACUUACAAGUCGAGCAGAUACGAAAGUAGGACUUAGUGAUCCGGUGGAUUAUGAAUGGAAAUGCCAUCGCUCAACGGACAAAAGUUACCCUGGGGAUAACAGGCUUAUCUCCCCCAAGAGUUCACAUCGACGGG